CUGUGUGAAUUGACCACAAAUAACCUGAACUUUGACGGUUGACUGGAUCCAGGAAGUUUUGACGUUUCGCAGUUGAAAAAGGAGGGACGCCAGAUCCAGAUUUUUGAAUGUGUAGGCAUAUGAACAUAUAAACUGUUCAAAAUUGCUGCCAUUGAAUCUCCAUUCGAUGAAAAAUUUGAAGAGUAAAAUCAGAUUAGCCAGUAGUGGUUUCAUGAAAAAAAACUAGAUUUAUCAAACAAAAAGUGGAGGGAUCCUGCACAAAACCGAGUUAACAACAGCGCGCCAGUCGUUUCUACUUUUCGUAAGGUGACGCCAAUUGGAGAUUCCAAGCGAAGCCAGGCCUUCUCCAUCUGGUCCUUCCAGCGGAGUGGACUGCGUCGAAUACUUUUAGAGCUGGAGUGUUUUCGUCCAUUCGAACGACAUGACCUAGCCAGCGUAGCCGCUGUCAUUUAAUAAGUUGAACUAUGUCAAUGCCGUCGUAUAUCUCAACCAGUUCAUCGUUCCAUCGAAUGCGAUAUUCGCCAUGGCCAACGCGUAAAGAACCAUACAUCUUUCGCAGAACUGUUCUCUCGAAAACUCGCAACGUCGACUCAUCAGUUGUUGUCAUUGUCCAUGCCUCUGUACCAUAUAGCAGGAUCGGAAUAAUGAGUGACUUAUAGAGUUUUGUUCGUCGAGAGAGGACUUUACUUCUCAAUUGCCUACUCAGUCCGAAGUAGCAACUGUUAGCAAGAGAUAUCCUGCGUUGGAUUUCGAGGCUGACGUUGUUGUUGGUGUUGAUGCUGGUGUUGAUGCCCUCGUUCACCACCAGACCCAUUUGCUUCGCUGUUUUAUCCAUUCUGAAGAAGGCAGAACUAACAGCGCGGUUGUUAAGGCCAAUGAUGCCAAUAUCAUCAGCAUACGGCAGCAGAUGUACACUCUUAUAGAAGAUUGUACUUUCUUAUACCUUGAUGUAUUUAGUAUUGUAAAUUAUGUAAAAUAUAAUAAUAUACAUAAAUUAUAUAUGUAUAAACCAUAUAUAAGCUUUUUGCCAAAAAUAUAAUGUUAAUAUAGUAAAUACCAUACAUAAAUGUUGCCAAACAAUUGAUUCAAAG